rnacentral:rRNA from 1 species
GAUGCUAAUACCGGAUAAUAACAGAUGAUGCCUAUCAACUGUUUAAAAGAUGGUUCUGCUAUCACUCUUGGAUGGACCUGCGGUGCAUUAGCUAGUUGGUAGGGUAACGGCCUACCAAGGCGAUGAUGCAUAGCCGAGUUGAGAGACUGAUCGGCCACAUUGGGACUGAGACACGGCCCAAACUCCUACGGGAGGCAGCAGGC